UACAGAGGGUGCGAGCGUUGUUCGGAAUUAUUGGGCGUAAAGCGCUUGUAGGCGGCUUGUUAAGUCGCGUGUGAAAUCCCCAGGCUUAACCUGGGAAGUGCGCGCGAAACUGGCGAGCUUGAAUGCCGGAGAGGGUCGCGGAAUUCCCGGUGUAGAGGUGAAAUUCGUAGAUAUCAGGAGGAACACCUGUGGCGAAAGCGGCUCACUGGACCAUAACUGACGCUGAUGCACGAAAGCUAGGGGAGCAAACAGG
rnacentral:rRNA from 1 species